CUGUACCUUUUUUUGUCUUUUAGGUUAAACUCUACAAUGAGAAGAGACAAGAUCUUGAAGAACAGCAGUUACAUUUAAACAUUGGACUCCAAAAAAUACAAGAAACUGUACAACAAGUAGAAAGAGUUACAAGCCAGCCUCCCUAUAAGAAAAAUGAGCUAAAACAAAAGAACAUGCUAGCUAACCAGAAACUGAAACAGAUGGUUCACAAUCAGCAAGAGGCCGAGAAAAAGAAGAUAACGUCAUAGGAGAUACAUGUACAUGUACAGGUUCAAACUCAUGAUAUUGCUCAAAAGAAGGACAUUGUAUUCAACAAUUUGUCCAAAGUGGAACCAGCAGUCAAAGAGGCUCAGCAAGCUGUGAAGGGAAUUAAGAAAUCCCACCUGGUUGAAGUGAGGGCUUUAAACAACCCCAUCAGGUCAUCAAGAUGGCACUGGAAAGCAUCUGCAUGCUAAUCAGAGAACCUUACACUGACUGGAAGAGUAUCAGACAGAUUAUAAUGAAGGAGAACUUUAUUCCUACCAUUGCUAACUUCUCUACUGAACACAUUACAGAUGACACUAGGAAUAAGAUGGAGAAUCACGCUAGUAAAGCUUGUGGGUUUUUGGUGAAGUGGGCCAUAGCUCAGGACGUUGAGAGCUACGACCCAAUCCUGAACCCUGUCCUAUUCUAGACGACAACAGAAUCAUUUCUGAGCUUGAGACUCUUAAGGAAGAGGCUCCAGAA